AAACCAGCACCUCAAGUGGUCAGGAUGAUUAUUGGGCCUAAAGCAUCCGUAGCCUGCUCUGUAAGUUUUCGGUUAAAUCUGUACGCUUAACGUACAGGCUGUCGGGAAUACUGCAAAGCUAGGGAGUGGGAGAGGUAGACGGUACUCGGGAGGAAGGGGUAAAAUCCUUUGAUCUCUCGAUGACCACCUGUGGCGAAGGCGGUCUACCAGAACACGUCCGACGGUGAGGGAUGAAAGCUGGGGGAGCAAACCGGAUUAGAAACCCGGGUAGUCC
rnacentral:rRNA from 1 species